rnacentral:rRNA from 1 species
GACGAACGCUGGCGGCGUGCUUAACACAUGCAAGUGGAGCGACGAACCAGGGCUUGCCCUGGGGCAAAGCCGCGAACGGGUGAGUAACACGUGGGUAACCCACCCCGAUGAUCGGGACAACCCGGGGAAACUCGGGCUAAUACCGAAUGUGCUUCAGGUUCAUGAGGACCUGAAGCAAAGAUAGCUUCGGCCUUCGCAUCGGGACGGGCCCGCGGCCCAUUAGCUUGUUGGUGAGGUAACGGCUCACCAAGGCGACGAUGGGUAGCUGGUCUGGGCGGACGAUCAGCCACACGGGAACUGGAACACGGGCCAGACUCCGACGGGAGGCAGCAGUGAGGAAUAUUGCGCAAUGGGGGAAACCCUGACGCAGCAACGCCGCGUGGGUGAAGAAGGCCUUCGGGUCGUAAAGCCCUUUCGGACGGGACGAACGCUCCGCGGUGACAAGCCGCGGAGCCUGACGGUACCGUAAGAAGAAGCACCGGCUAACUCCGUGCCAGCCGCCGCAGUAAUAC